rnacentral:lncRNA from 1 species
AUUAUAAGGAGACAACGGUCCAGCAACCCAAAGUUGACUGGGAGACGACGACCUAGACCUCUCACGAACUCAUCACAGCAUCCUCCAUGAGCAUCAUCCUGCAGUACCUGGUCUUGACCUGUGGUGUAUGUGAGACAGCAAGAGUGAGCUCACAUACGUUCAUCGCUCAACAAGUUGUGGGGAAUAAUGUGCAUGAACUCGCCAAAGGUGGGAGCUCACGUGAAGUGUAAGGCUUACCAAAGAAGAUGGUUAGAGCUGAGCAUUGCUUUUAAAGUUGGUCAAAAUUUUAUUAGCAGUUACUAAGUAUAAGUAAAUACCAACCCAAUUAAAUAGUAGAACAAAAGUAACCACAUCACCUGCAAUGCAAUGCAUAUGACAAAUUGAGUUUAGUUCCAUAAAUUAAUCAUGUGAGUGUCCGAGCCGCUCAUGACCGUGAGCACGGCUAGUAUACCAGUUUUACACUCUGCAGAGGUUGCGCAUCUUUACCCACAAGUCGUGUAUCCCAUGUCGCCAGGGUUUGCAAGGCCCUUAGACACUUCCGAGGUGAAUGGCUAGGGAUCCACUACGUGGCCUUUACAAAGUUCCACUAGCUUCCGAAAACCCGCUACAGUUUAUAGGAAGAUCCAGUACAGGAAUCCCUUGCAGGACCGCCAUCGCAGCAAAAUCCUCCCGAGGGCCUCCCCGCACUGACCUCUCCCCUACUGCCCUUGCCCCUUUCGGGUAAGGUAGUCUUCCACUAGCUUUCCUAAUUAAUCAGCCAAGGGCGUCCCAUUAAACCCUUGUGGUAGCACUGUUUUCCCGGGUGGUUCUCCAUGUUCCAAUUAACAUAAUGAUCUCAAUAUGAACAAUAAAUAAUAACUGAUAACAAAAGUGUAACCAUGAAUAGUGUAUCUCCAUACCCAAAACCACAUAUAGCACUAGCAAGUACUACCCAGAAAGUUCAGUGGUGAACAAGGUAUAAAGAUAAUCAAACUAGGUAACCUGUUGGGUCCCAUCAAAAUUAACCUAUGCAGAUCAUUAUGAUUAAUCAGAACAUGAGUGGGUAAAAAGAAGUGAUCAAGGGCACAACUUGCCUGGGCCUUGAGAUUCCAGGUACCAGGAUGAUCUUCAGGUGACACGUGACCUCGCACUAGUCGUAGCAAUACAAACAAACAGUGUAUAGGCAAAAUUAACAUUACAUCAAACAUGUAUGCAAAAUACAUAUUAAUAAUCUACAUAUUAAAGUAAGAUCACAGGAAAAAGAAUUAUUAAUUUUUGAGUUAUAGAAUUCAAGUUAUGAAUUUCCUAAGAUUUAAGGUGAUUAUAAUAUGAUUAAAUGAUAAAUAAAUUUUCUUGACAGAGUUCAUGACAAAACAGUGAUUCUAAAUGGUAGAGAAUAUUGUUACAAAAUUUUAGGAAUUGGAAUGACUCAAUUUGGAGCUAAAAUGAAUUAGUUAUGAAUUAAUUAAGUUUCUGGAUUUAUUUUAACACUAAAAAUCAUUUUCUAAAUCAUUUUCUAUGAUUUUCCUAUUCACUGGACUGGGCCUCAAAUACCAGAAAACACAGGGGUCUCGGUGUAAUUCGCCACAGACACAGGGAACAGUGACAUAUGGACGGCGGGUUCUAUUUCUGUAAAACCCAGGGGCUCUUUAAUAAAUUUCCUGACCGAAAGGGUAUCACGCGAUCUGAGCCGCCCGAUCUAACUCUGACGGUCCAGAUUAGAUCGCGUUUUAAUCGAACCGGUAUGCGAUUCAAGCCCUCGGAUUCGAAUCUGACGGUGGUUAUUUUAUGAAAGCAAGAUCGGAUCGGGUCCGUCAGAUCACAUCCAACGGUCCCAAUGCCACGCGUGAAGGGGGUAACUUGAAUCUAAUCUCGUCCGUUCAUCUCGCAUCAACGGUCAGGGAGCCAUCUCCCCAAUCCAGCUCAACUCGCCCUACCCGACGGCGCUCCCCGGCGAUGGUUCACCGGAGUAGGCGCAAUUCCGGCCGACCAAGUCCCCAAUCCCGAAUUCACUCAACCUACGUGAGAUUCGCAACGGCCCGCACCCAUGUCGCCCCUCAAUUCCAGCCGCGACACAGCGCAAAUACCCUGCCCACGGCACAGCCAAGCUCACGGCGGAGAUGGUUACUCCGAUGAGCGAUUCGACGAGGUCCGGUCACCAAAUAGGCCAGCCAAGGGGUCCACACACACCAGAGGUUAAUGCGAACACGAUAGAAGCGAAUUUACCGUGGAUUAUGUACCGAUGAUCACGGGUCACGAGCAAUGGCGGCUCCGCCGUGAACCUUUCGCUUCGGUGAGCAAUUGGGGACGCCAUGAUGACCGCGCCACCCAGUUUCGGCCAUGGGCGCAUUCCUAAGAACGCGGUGAAGCUCCCAGACCCGCAGUUGGGACCCCGUCGAUGGUGUACACGUGAUUCGUUCGCGGCGGAUCUUCCUCUCUCCUCUCGGCACGGCACCCUUCCCUCUCUGUUGUUUUCUCUCGGUGGCUGCGUGAAGACGUCGGUAGAUGCGCAGCUAGCGGCGCCAGGUUCACGACUUUAUAGCCUGGGCGAGUUGCAAUAACCAACACAGGGCGGAUUAGGAUCCCGCGAUCCCCGGCGGAGUUUUACAACGACCGAAAGCUGACCUCAAUUCGGACUUGGAGAAGACGACCAACGGUGGGUCCCACACGGCAGGGAGUUGAGAGGAGGCUGAGUGGCUGAUUUGUGGGGACAUACCUGUCGGCACGCCAUUUUCCCCAGUUGGGCCGCGCGCGGCUGGUUUCAUCUGGUGGGCCGAGGGGAGAAGCCAGCCCAAGCGCAAGGAGAUCUUUUCCCUUUUUUAUUUUCUUUUCUUCAAAUUUCAGUUUUCCAAUUCUAAUUUAAAUUCAAAUUUUUCAGAGUUCAGAUUUCAAAAUUAUAUGCAUCUCAUAAAACUCCAGUAUGAGUGCAAGGAUCCAUAUGUUCAUAUUAAUUAUUUUAUCCAUGCUUCAAAACAUAUAAAUUAACAAAGAGUAUUUCACAACUCAUUUAUAUUGGGAUGGUUUCCUAAACAUUUCCUAGUUUCCUAGCUUAAGCUUGUUUCACAAUUUUCAAUACAAAGUGUAAACUCAUAAGGAAACUUCAUGGAAUGCACAUUUAUGUAUCUAUUUUAUUUGUUAUUUACAUAAUUUAAUGCCAUUGAUUGAAUAUGUAGAGAAAAUCAAGGGAUCCCCGAAACAUCCACUUUAUAAAUUUACUUAUUUAUUAUUUUUUUUUCUCUUACCAAUUUUUGGGCUUUACAAAUCCUACCCCCCUUAAAAAUAAUCUCGUCCUCGAGAUUUGUAAGAAAAGGGUUACAGAGAAAUUGGUUUGAAAUCUAUAUUAAGUGGUUUUAGUACCAAAAGAUUUUUUUUUUCAAGUCUAAACCCAAAUUGGCAGGUGAUUAGGAAAGCAUGGGUGUAUAUAUGUAUGUCUACUUUAUUAUGUAGGAUAGAAGAUGUCUUUAGGGCAUAUAUAGGUUUGGGUAAGAAAGAGUAGGAUAAGAAAAGACUUCAUCCUAGAUUGUGGAUCUUGACUCAUCUUGGUGAUCUCACUUGAUCCUUGAAGACUUGAGUUGAUGCUCAUCCUUUCUUGAUGAAGUUGAUCAUCUUCUUCUCCAGUCUUGGUCUCAUUGAUUCAUGGUUAGUGUAUAUCAUCGGUUGGGAAUAUGGUUAAGAUAGAUAUGGAUGAGAUAGACUACAUGAUAUAGGUCAAAAGUUUGUUUGUUGUUAGGUGGGGAUAGGCAGAUUAUGCAAUCCAUCAAGACUCUAUUGGUUGGGUUGGUCUAUCAGUCUUUAUUUAGUGUAGGGUGGACUAAAUUACAACAUGUGAAUAGGGUCUAAUCCAUUUCACAAGUAUUAACUGGUCCAUUAAGUAACUCAUUUUUUUUUAAAUUAGAUCAUAGUAGGUUAGAUGUGAUCUAGAUUAGAUUGGUAUGACUGGUUUGACUAGAUAUGAUCUAAUUAAUCUUGCAUUAGAUCAUGGUUGUUAAACUAGGGUGGAUAAGUAUGCCUAUUAGGAUAAGAUGGAUCCAUAAAGAUAAGAUAAAAUCUUUUGAGGUCAGUUAGAUCUAUUAGGAUGAGAUACAAUCUUUUCAAGAUAAGAUGAGUAUCAUUUAAGAUAAGAUGGAUCUAUUAAGACAAGGGAGAAUCUUUUAAGAUAAGAUGAAUUGGCUAGAAUGAGAGCCUUUAGGAUAAGAUAAUUCUCUUAAGCUAGAUAGGUUCCAAAUGGGAUAAUUUAGGUUGCCUAGUUAUUUUAUAAAUAUAUUUUUAUACCUAUGUGUAUAUGCAGAUGUAAUUGUGGACAUUACUCCACAACCCAUCACACUCAAUCAAAGAUCCAAAUCAGACAGAUAUCAUAAGAACAAACAUUCAAGUGCAUAGAUAAAAAUAGUUUUGUUUUUGUUCCUAAGAUUAGGUCUCCUAUUCCUAAAAGUCACUUUAGGCAUAGGAUUUCAAAGUGUGAAAUCCACAUUUGUUUUUCAGAAAGAAAAGAUAAGAAUAAUCAGAGUAAAGCGGAAAUAGAUGAGAAAAGAUUAAGAUAAGUUUAGAAAGGAUCAGAGUAGCAAAGGUGAGUAGAUAAUGGUUGUCCAGUUCUAUCUAGGUUUCGUCCUACAGUCAACAUUCCUCUGAUACCACUUCUGUAACACCCGGAUUUUAGGGGUCCAAAACCCGGGCGCUAACAUAAACACCAGGUAUGCUGGGACCAAGUCUCAUACAUAUGAUGUAUAGUGGCACAGGAUCGAAUGUCACAACUUUAUAUAUAACAGGAGUUCUAUACAAAAUAAAUAAUUACAUUAUAAGGAGACAACGGUCCAGCAACCCAAAGUUGACUGGGAGACGACGACCUAGACCUCUCACGAACUCAUCACAGCAUCCUCCAUGAGCAUCAUCCUGCAGUACCUGGUCUUGACCUGUGGUGUAUGUGAGACAGCAAGAGUGAGCUCACAUACGUUCAUCGCUCAACAAGUUGUGGGGAAUAAUGUGCAUGAACUCGCCAAAGGUGGGAGCUCACGUGAAGUGUAAGGCUUACCAAAGAAGAUGGUUAGAGCUGAGCAUUGCUUUUAAAGUUGGUCAAAAUUUUAUUAGCAGUUACUAAGUAUAAGUAAAUACCAACCCAAUUAAAUAGUAGAACAAAAGUAACCACAUCACCUGCAAUGCAAUGCAUAUGACAAAUUGAGUUUAGUUCCAUAAAUUAAUCAUGUGAGUGUCCGAGCCGCUCAUGACCGUGAGCACGGCUAGUAUACCAGUUUUACACUCUGCAGAGGUUGCGCAUCUUUACCCACAAGUCGUGUAUCCCAUGUCGCCAGGGUUUGCAAGGCCCUUAGACACUUCCGAGGUGAAUGGCUAGGGAUCCACUACGUGGCCUUUACAAAGUUCCACUAGCUUCCGAAAACCCGCUACAGUUUAUAGGAAGAUCCAGUACAGGAAUCCCUUGCAGGACCGCCAUCGCAGCAAAAUCCUCCCGAGGGCCUCCCCGCACUGACCUCUCCCCUACUGCCCUUGCCCCUUUCGGGUAAGGUAGUCUUCCACUAGCUUUCCUAAUUAAUCAGCCAAGGGCGUCCCAUUAAACCCUUGUGGUAGCACUGUUUUCCCGGGUGGUUCUCCAUGUUCCAAUUAACAUAAUGAUCUCAAUAUGAACAAUAAAUAAUAACUGAUAACAAAAGUGUAACCAUGAAUAGUGUAUCUCCAUACCCAAAACCACAUAUAGCACUAGCAAGUACUACCCAGAAAGUUCAGUGGUGAACAAGGUAUAAAGAUAAUCAAACUAGGUAACCUGUUGGGUCCCAUCAAAAUUAACCUAUGCAGAUCAUUAUGAUUAAUCAGAACAUGAGUGGGUAAAAAGAAGUGAUCAAGGGCACAACUUGCCUGGGCCUUGAGAUUCCAGGUACCAGGAUGAUCUUCAGGUGACACGUGACCUCGCACUAGUCGUAGCAAUACAAACAAACAGUGUAUAGGCAAAAUUAACAUUACAUCAAACAUGUAUGCAAAAUACAUAUUAAUAAUCUACAUAUUAAAGUAAGAUCACAGGAAAAAGAAUUAUUAAUUUUUGAGUUAUAGAAUUCAAGUUAUGAAUUUCCUAAGAUUUAAGGUGAUUAUAAUAUGAUUAAAUGAUAAAUAAAUUUUCUUGACAGAGUUCAUGACAAAACAGUGAUUCUAAAUGGUAGAGAAUAUUGUUACAAAAUUUUAGGAAUUGGAAUGACUCAAUUUGGAGCUAAAAUGAAUUAGUUAUGAAUUAAUUAAGUUUCUGGAUUUAUUUUAACACUAAAAAUCAUUUUCUAAAUCAUUUUCUAUGAUUUUCCUAUUCACUGGACUGGGCCUCAAAUACCAGAAAACACAGGGGUCUCGGUGUAAUUCGCCACAGACACAGGGAACAGUGACAUAUGGACGGCGGGUUCUAUUUCUGUAAAACCCAGGGGCUCUUUAAUAAAUUUCCUGACCGAAAGGGUAUCACGCGAUCUGAGCCGCCCGAUCUAACUCUGACGGUCCAGAUUAGAUCGCGUUUUAAUCGAACCGGUAUGCGAUUCAAGCCCUCGGAUUCGAAUCUGACGGUGGUUAUUUUAUGAAAGCAAGAUCGGAUCGGGUCCGUCAGAUCACAUCCAACGGUCCCAAUGCCACGCGUGAAGGGGGUAACUUGAAUCUAAUCUCGUCCGUUCAUCUCGCAUCAACGGUCAGGGAGCCAUCUCCCCAAUCCAGCUCAACUCGCCCUACCCGACGGCGCUCCCCGGCGAUGGUUCACCGGAGUAGGCGCAAUUCCGGCCGACCAAGUCCCCAAUCCCGAAUUCACUCAACCUACGUGAGAUUCGCAACGGCCCGCACCCAUGUCGCCCCUCAAUUCCAGCCGCGACACAGCGCAAAUACCCUGCCCACGGCACAGCCAAGCUCACGGCGGAGAUGGUUACUCCGAUGAGCGAUUCGACGAGGUCCGGUCACCAAAUAGGCCAGCCAAGGGGUCCACACACACCAGAGGUUAAUGCGAACACGAUAGAAGCGAAUUUACCGUGGAUUAUGUACCGAUGAUCACGGGUCACGAGCAAUGGCGGCUCCGCCGUGAACCUUUCGCUUCGGUGAGCAAUUGGGGACGCCAUGAUGACCGCGCCACCCAGUUUCGGCCAUGGGCGCAUUCCUAAGAACGCGGUGAAGCUCCCAGACC